UGCACCUCUUCCCGCCACCGUGAGCCUUGCAGCAAUCGGUGCUCCCUUGCGCGCUCUUGCCGCACCCGUCCACCCUGCACCGCUUGCCACCGCCGUGCUUCACGCAGCGGUCCGUGCGGCCGCGCGCGCUCUUGCUGCACCCAGGCACCGCGCACCGCUUCCCGCCGCCGUGAGCCACGCAGAAGUCUGUGCCGCCGUGGACGCUCUUGGGGCACACGCCGCCGCCCUCAUACACGCACCGCUUCCCGCCGCCGUGCGCCUUGCACAGCGGCGUGCUGCCUUCGGCGCCCUUGCCGCACCCCUCGAAGACGCAGCGCUUCCCGCCGCCGUGCGACUUGCAGUACAGGGUGCUGCCCUGCGCUCCCCUGCGGCAGUCCGGGAACUGGCACCGCCGCCCGCCGCCGUGAGAGAUGCACAGCCCGACCCUUCCCUCGGCGCUCCUGAUGCAGCCCUCGACCGAGCACCUCUUCCCGCCGCCGUGCUUGAUGCACCGCCCGGACUUGCCACGCGCGGCUUUAGGGCAGUCAGGGUAGCCGCACCGCUGGCCGCCGCCAUGGGCGAUGCAGUGGUCCGUCUUCCCUUCCGCGCUCUUGGUGCAGCCGAGCUGCAGGCACCGGCGCCCCCCGCCGUGGGCCUUGCAGUAGGCCGUGCGGCUCUCGGCGCCCUUGUGGCACCCGGGCUUCUGGCACCUCUGCCCGCCGCCGUGAGCGAUGCACAGGCCCGUCGCGCCUCGCGCGCCCUUGGAGCACCCUUUGAACCUGCACUUCUUGGGGUGCCGGCGUUGAGCCUGCUGUCCAGAGUUGCUUACCA
rnacentral:misc_RNA from 1 species